GUGGGGAAUAUUGGACAAUGGGCGCAAGCCUGAUCCAGCCAUGCCGCGUGAGUGAUGAAGGCCUUAGGGUUGUAAAGCUCUUUCAGUAGGGAAGAUAAUGACGGUACCUACAGAAGAAGCCCCGGCUAACUUCGUGCCAGCAGCCGCGGUAAUACGAAGGGGGCUAGCGUUGUUCGGAUUUACUGGGCGUAAAGCGCACGUAGGCGGAAUGUUAAGUCAGAGGUGAAAUCCUGGAGCUCAACUCCAGAACUGCCUUUGAUACUGGCAAUCUCGAGUCCGGAAGAGGUGAGUGGAACUCCUAGUGUAGAGGUGGAAUUCGUAGAUAUUAGGAAGAACACCAGUGGCGAAGGCGGCUCACUGGUCCGGUACUGACGCUGAGGUGCGAAAGCGUGGGGAGCAAACAGGAUUAGAAACCCGGGUAGUCC
rnacentral:rRNA from 1 species